rnacentral:rRNA from 1 species
AUUCUAGAGCUAAUACAUGCUGUUUAGCCUGACUUCUUGAAGGGCUGUAUUUAUUAGAUAACAGACCAAUAUUCCUCGUGUCUAUUGUGGUGACUCAUAGUAACUGAUCGGAUCGCACGGGCGUGCCCGCGACAAACCAUUCAAGUUUCUGCCCCAUCAGCUUUCGAUGGUAGUGUAUUGGACUACCAUGGCUUUUACGGGUAACGGAGGAUUAGGGUUCGAUUCCGGAGAGGGAGCCUGAGAAACGGCUACCACAUCUAAGGAAGGCAGCAGGCGCGUAAAUUACCCAAUUCUAAUUCAGAGAGGUAGUG